rnacentral:lncRNA from 1 species
UGGAUUUAGAAUAUUAUGCUGUAUGCCUCCGUUCUUGCCAAUCAUAAUGAUUCAAGAGCACUGCAUUUGUCUUGGUGUUUUGAUUUGUUUUCCUUUUGCAACGACAUGAAGCUCUCAUUUUAUUUAUAUCCACUUAUGCUGAAUUGUAUUGUCAUGAAGCUCACAUUGUAUUUGUACCCACUUGUGCUGAAUUAUAUUGUCACUUCACUUGAGUCCAGAACCAUCAAGUUUCUGUGUUGGCUCCUGCAAUUGACUGAUGAUUAACUUGUUUUCCCAUUUAUUUAUCUUGUACGGUUUCUUGCUGGUUUAUCUGCCUGGUUUUAGCUGUCCAUUGUGUCUCUUAUAUUUAUAACAGCUUUCAGUGUCGUUUUACUCUACACUGAAAUGAAAUAUUAGGUCAUUCAGUUUGUGCAAUGUUCUGAGAUUUCACCUUUUAGGUCAUUAAUUUUGUUUAUGGCCCUCUAUGUGACACAUUUGUUUGAAUUUGACUGCACAAAUCUGGCAGUGCUACGAGCCUGAAUUGGUGCCUAUGAUUUUUUUGAUGUAAAAUGGUUUGGAUAAGCAAGUAAUACGAUAACCUUUUGUAGUUUACAGUUACAACGUCAUAACUAUUACUCUUUUGUCUUUUGUCUUAACAGUUACUCUUUUGUCCAUUUAAUGCCUGUUUCUGUUGAGCGUUCAACGGUUCAAGUUCUCCUCUUCUUGGAUUUAGUUAGGAUAUAUGCUUCCAUUCUUGUCAAUUGAGACUGCCUGAGAACACUGCAUUUGCCUUGGUGUUUUGAUUUGUCUUUCUUCUGCACACACACAUGAGAGUUCUCGUUGAGAUCCUACCCACUUACUCAGCAGUGCCUGCUGUACUUUGCUCAUGAAGAACUUCUUUUCUCCAUUUCUCUGUUUUGUAAGGAGUAUAGAAGUAAGGUGUACUGCUGGGCUUGGACCAUGUCUUUCUGUUUCCAGCAGCUUGCCGAGUCGUUUUACUCAAUACUUGUGGACUGAAAUUUAAGUCGUUCGGUUUGUACAACAUGUCGUGAUUUCACCUUUUAUUUGUAGAUGUUGCUAUUGCCUUGCUUCUUCCGCAGUUUUCUUGAGGGCAAGGCGGGGCACCGUCUGUGCAGGCGACGGCAGCAGGAGCGGCGGAGCGCCACAAUACCCGAGCACAACCUUGGUCGGACCGCCCCGCGACACCCCACGCGGAGCGCGGCGGCGGCGAGCGGUCCGGGAGCUCAAGGAGGCCCUUUUGCCAGCCGGCGUGACUGCGAGAGUGCCCGAGCUACCACGCCGAGGUGGCAGCCCGCUCUCCACGCAGGUCACAGCCAGACGAGCCGGAGGCUCCCGGCGCACGAUCGGCUG